rnacentral:rRNA from 1 species
CCUGAUGGCGAGUGGCGAACGGGUGAGUAAUACAUCGGAACGUGCCCAGUCGUGGGGGAUAACUGCUCGAAAGAGCAGCUAAUACCGCAUACGAUCUCAGGAUGAAAGCGGGGGACCUUCGGGCCUCGCGCGAUUGGAGCGGCCGAUGGCAGAUUAGGUAGUUGGUGGGGUAAAUGCUUACCAAGCCUACGAUCUGUAGCUGGUCUGAGAGGAUGACCAGCCACACUGGGACUGAGACACGGCCCAG